GGUGAGAGGGAGAACCUGCCGCCGCUCGCCGCCUCUUUGUCUGCUCCGGGACUGGGAACAAAGGGGGGAACUCUGAUGAACUCUCCUCCCCUCGCCCCGGACGCCCGGGUAUCUCCCUCUCACAACUUUGCCGCCACGACUUUCUGCGCUGUCAGGCCACACGAAAGUGUCCGCGCGCCUCUCGGACUGCAACAGGGGAACGUCUCUGAAAAUUGUGACCAAGUGGGAGGAAGGUGUAAUUAUUAUUAUCAGCAUCUAGAAAGCAUCACGCAGUGCAUUGCUCCUUCGGGAUCUUCCUAUCAGUGAACGUUAUGGAAGUACCAACACAACGUCACGCCGAUGCUGGAGGAAAAGUUAUCACACUUCUUUGUUUGGAGUUACUUAAAAGUUAAAACGUUGGAAUUUCUAGGCUGCCUUCCCUAUGUGGAUUACUGCAACGUGAUCACUGGGAAUUCUCCACCUGAAAGCACUCUCAGGAGCCUACAGAAGCAUUGACACCCAGCAUGUUCAGCUGGUGCAGGCAUGUUGCGCAAUAUUGCUGACCAGCUCUAGAUCAUGCUGCAUCAGAUGAGGACAUAAAUGCCAAGGGGUUGACUCUACCAAGUAGAUACAUUUCAUGCAGAUGAAUGAAUUGAGUUAAAGACCUGCUAGACUUCCCAUAAGCUGAUCCUGGUCAUCCUAAUUUCUAGCACUCCCCAACUUUAACAAUUGUAUAUCAUACUACCUUCUAUUUUCUAUUUUUUUUAUUGUGACAAUGACUAUUUGUAUGUAACCUGUCAUAAUAAAGCAUCUGCUUUAUCAAAACCAA